UAGAUGGGUAAGAACAGAUAGAAGCAAUAGUCAUCUAGGAGUUUGUGUCUGCUGCGGAAAGUGAUGGUGUGUGUGUGUGUGUGUGUGUGUGUGUGUGUGUGUGUGUGUGUGUGUGUUUGUGUGUGUAUUGCUGCCUGCAUGCUUGAAGACCUCUGUGGACUUUAGAAACCUUAGACUCACCAACUAGACAACACAACACCACCCUCACAACAAGAUGGCAGUUAGAAAAAAAAAACAUUGAAUCUAUCAGCACAUCAUAACCUAUCAGAACCACCCCCACCACCAUCCAUUUUAAACAUUUAAAAAAACUCCCCAAAUGGAAAUAUUUGUGUGAAUCUGUGCCACUGACAGCUAGUUGUUCAAACCAGACCCUCUGAUUUUAUUUCGUAACUAAGGCUUUGCUGCUCUCUUCUGUGUAGAACAUAUUUCAUCUGGGUUUAUGAACAGUCAAGCCUAGGGACUAAGCAUUUGAGAAAACAGGAUGACCAAUGCAUCCUGUUGUUUGGUGUUCCCGGAAUCCUCUCCUCUCAGCAGAAUCCUCCCUUGUUUGUAGCUCAUCCUGGCUAUGACACUCCUGCACUCACACCUAUCUAGUCGCUGUAAGCUCUUAUGAAUGACAGGGCAGCCAAACCCUGCCUCAUUGGCCAUGGCCUGAACUCCCUGGAAGGAAAUAUUUGGCUCAUGGAUAGCAUUCUGUUCAGCUGCUAACUGGUUCUGGCUGCAGUUAGCACCAAAGCCGGAAUGCCAGGCAGCACAGAGCAUGGCUAAGUUCACUGGGGUCAUUUAAAUAACUCCUGAUUAGGCUGCUUCACCUAGGGAUUUUCUAACCAGACAUGACCAUACUCUUCAUCAUCAUAGUCACCCUUCAGACUGGCAAGAAAGCCAUUAGGAAGACAGAAUGGAGACUGGGUUAGCAGGGGCCCAGUCUCCUGCUAGCUAUUUGCUAUCUCUGUGACUGAUACAGUCAUGCAAAGACCUGAAUCCUUCAAAAGCUGAAAUAGCAGGCAUGUGACAUGGAGUUUGUGCCGGUCAGUGGUCCUGGAAGUCUGUCCACACAAAAUGUUGUUUCCCUCUCCAUCUGCCCUGUGAUCAAUGUUACUCACAAGCUCCAUGUGUCUGACUGAUAUUUAAACAUUGGUGUUGAGAAUCCAGACCUUGGUUACCUGCUCUGUUAUAAGCAAGCAGCCCAGAGAUGGGAAAGGUGUGCUUCUAUCAAGCUACAACUUAUGUAAUGUUCAUGUGCCUGUGCUUAUUAAAGUGUUGUCUUACACAUUGA